rnacentral:lncRNA from 1 species
CCAGCCCUGGCAGGGGGACACCGGGGGGCCCUGAGGGGCUGGAAACCAGAACCCCCGCCAGGGCCAGGCGUGGGGUGCGGGGCCAGCCCAGAGACAUGACGUGGUAGGACUUUCCUUCGGCAUGCUGUCCCCCCCUUGCUGUUCCCCGCUUUCUCUAAGUGUACUGUAUGUUUGACCUGUGAAAGAUGUAAACUUUAUGAUUCAGGUUAUGUAUGUUCUUAACUCUGUAUCUGUGUAAUAAAGACAAUUUAAUAUCAACCAGAGGCUCCGUAGCCUGGGCUUGUGCUGGGUCCCCCCGUCCUGCACUCCUGGCAGUGUGUGUCCCCAACCCUGGCUCGGGGGGGGGGUUGGAGGGAGGAUCAUUACAUUGGGGGGGUUCAUUGCAUUGGGGUGUUAAUUACAUUGGGGGGGGCUCAUUGCAUUGGAGUGUUCAUUACAUUGGGGGGGGUUCAUUGCAUUGGGGGGUUCAUUACAUUGGGGGGGUCAUUAAAUUGAGAGGUUCACUUCAUUGGGGGGUUCAUUACAUUGAGGAGUUCAUUACAUUGACGGGUUCACGGCAUUGGGGGGUUCAUUACAUUGAGUGGUUAAUUACAUUAGCGGGUUCUUUACAUUGGGGACUUCAUUACAUUGAAAGGUUCACUUCAUUGGGGGGUUCACUACAUUGGGGGGUUCAUUACAUUGAGAGGUUCAUUUCGUUGGGGGUUCAUUACAUUGAGAGGUUCACUUCAUUGGGGGUUUCAUUACAUUGGGGAGGGUUCAUUGCAUUGGGGUGUUCAUUACAUUGAGUGGUUAAUAACAUUAGCGGGUUCUUUACAUUGGGGAGUUCAUUACAUUGAGAGGUUCAUUAAAGCCCUGGGGCCACUCUCUGCAAAGGAGGGGUGUCCAUAGCGGGGUGCACUCAAAGGGAUGUGUCCCACCUGCUGCUGCGGGGGGGCCGCACCUUUGGGGUGCCCCCCCGCAUCCCCCAGCGGGGUGGGUGCGCGGGGAGGGGCGGAACGGAGCAGACCCUGCCCACACCUCUCAGCCCCAGCUGAACGUCAUUGCCGGGUCUCGAACCCGCGGCCCCCGGAACUGUAAUGAGCGGCCGGCCGGCGGGGGGCGGGGCCUGGCGCGCGCCCCGCGCUGAUUGGCCGCCGCGGUGUGAAAGUGGCGCGCGGGCGCCAGGCGCGCUCGUGGUGGCGGGAGAGCCGCACGUGGUCGGGGGGGGGGGGGGGGGGGGGGGGGGGGGGGGGGGGGGGGGGGGGGGGGGGGGGGGGGGGGGGGGGGGGG